CACUCCUGGCUCGCUGAUGCUGUCUUUGCACUGAUGUCAAUCCCCUGCUGCUGAUGUCAGCCCAGCUGUGACAGCUGAGUCCAAUGCCACCCACAGUUGACCUGGUGAGUCACAUCUGCCUGCUUUCCCCUUGCCAAAGACCCCCUCAGAAGCCCAGGGCAGAGCCCAUGACCUGCUUCCCUCUUUGCAUCUCUAUGCUUUUUGAGCUUGAGGAGUCUCCAUGGCUGAGUGAUUUGUCCCAUUAGCCAUAGUUCUAUAAAAUUAACCGUGAAUGUUCUCCAGUGUCCGUGGCAACCCUUCUCCCAGGGAGCAAUUAUGACUAUAAGCUAUCCUCUUUUGAUGUUAACUUGUGGAAACAGAGCCUUUCUGGCCACUAAAAUGCAGUGGGGCUGGUGUCUCCUAAGAAAGAAAAUGUCCUAAAUGCUCUCUUCCAUAGAAAAGGAAGACACACAGAGGAGCCCUGACUGUAUAAUAAAGCUGAAAUAUGUUAGUGCUCAAAACUUGUACUGUGCAGUGGCUGCCCAAUGGCUACAGAAGACAGCAGUAAGCCCAAGCAGAACCAUAAGAAGAUUUCCUCAGGGACUGGAGCUGAGGGAGCAGCACCCACCACGCGAGCAGAAAGGCAAGCCUUGCAACACUCGGCCUUCAGAGCUUCAGCUUCCCGUCCAUGUGCACCUGGCUGGCCAAAGCAGUCAUAAGACCACGCCUAAUUCAAGGGAAUUGUGGGGAAGUGCAAUUCCAACAAGUGCCUGGAGGGCAAGCAAGCUGUGGAGUGCCCUGUGAACACUACAAUGUCCUUCUGACCACUACAGCCUCUUUCUAGGUUUUGCUCAUAUCUUUGCAUUAUUUCCAAAAUUCAUUUUAGUGAUAACUUAUAGUAUAGCAUAAUAUAUAUAAUUAUACAGAUAUCAUUAUAUAAAUUAUGAUAUAUAUUAUAACCAGAAGGAAACAAAACCUGGUCUCCCCAUCAAAGGACAUCUCCAGCAUUCAGCCACAUGCUUCCUGCCCAUGGUUCAAGGAGAGCAGCACAUGGCUGCUCUGCCAACCAAUGAAUGAGACUGAGCAUCGCCUCUUCUCCUCACCUUCUCAAGUCCAGUCGAAUCUUGAGCCCAGAAAUUAGAAGAGCCCAACAGCAUAAAAAGACUUUCUGCCACCUGCUUUAUUUGAGGAGGUUAAAAAAAAAAAAAUUGAUCUUGGCAUCAGAGGAACACAAGACUCAAAAGGAAAUAAACUGAUCUUUCAGAUUUA